AGUGGCGGACGGGUGAGUAACGCGUGGGCAACCUGCCCUGUACAGGGGGACAACACUUAGAAAUAGGUGCUAAUACCGCAUAACGGGGGGAGCCGCAUGGCACCCCCCUGAAAACUCCGGUGGUACAGGAUGGGCACGCGUCUGAUUAGCUGGUUGGCAGGGUAACGGCCUACCAAGGCGACGAUCAGUAGCCGGCCUGAGAGGGCGGACGGCCACACUGGGACUGAGACACGGCCCAGACUCCUACGGAAGGCAGCAG
rnacentral:rRNA from 1 species